rnacentral:rRNA from 1 species
CCUACGGGAGGCAGCAGUGAGGAAUAUUGGUCAAUGGACGAGAGUCUGAACCAGCCACGCAGCGUGAAUGAUGACUGCCCUCGGGGUGGUAAACUCUUUUUAUAUGGGAGUAAAAUGUUCCACGUGUGGGAUUUUGUAUGUACCAUAUGAAUAAGGGUAGGCUAACUCAGUGCCAGCAGCCGCGGUAAUACGGAGGGGGCGAGCGUUGUCCGGAUUUAUUGGGUUUAAAGGGAACGUAGGUGGAUUGGUAAGUCAGUUGUGAAAGUUUGGGGCUCAACCGUAAUAUUGCAGUUGAAACUGGCAGUCUUGAGUACAGGAGAGGUGAGCGGAAUUCGUGGUGUAGCGGUGAAAUGCGUAGAUAUCACGAAGAACACCGAUUGCGAAGGCAGCUUACUGGACUGCAACUGACGCUGAGGCUCGAAAGUGUGGGUAUCAAACAGGAUUAGAUACCCGAGUAGUC